GGGCACUUCAAACAGGUUGAUGCUGUUCUCCUGGACUUGGAACAAAAAGAGGUGGGAUCAUUGAGGCAGGCGGGGUCUGUGGGAGCCUACAUCCCCGCCUCCAUGGAGGCAUAAAGCAGCCAGUCCUGGUCAGACUCAACCUAUAGACAGAACAAGCUCUGAUUCCUCCGAACACACCCAGCUGCCGGACAGGACCCAGCAUCACUCCCUCCCUGGCAGAGAGCCCGGCAGAAUUGGUGCCCCGUGUGAGGAGACGCCCCCUCCUGACAGAAGUUCUCUGACAGGCCAAUCGGUCUACAGAUUUAUCAAGAAAAAAGAAUGAAGAUCGCCCUGUCAACGACAAUGAAGAUCCUGCAAAACAAUGAUGGGGGGAUCGACAAUCCAAGAAGACUUAGAGAUGGGGAGGAGAGAGUUUCAAGACAACCCACUGUGGACUGGCCUCCAAGACUUACUGCCCUACCUACUUCCCCUCCUUGGUCCCUUCCUCCUUCUCCUUCUCCCUCUCAUGGUAAAGCUGCGUUUACUUAAUACACAACCAUCCAACAUCAUAUAGAGGCAAUCAGGCUUCAUCAGGUCCAGGUUCAUUAUCAAAGGCUUGCUUGGACAGAGCCAAGGUCAACAUACAAUUGGCCCUCAGAAUAUGAGCAACCCUUCCUGGCUCUUCACUUGACCAAUGACAGGUAAGAUCUCAGAUAUGCUGAGAUGUCCUAAAACAGGUCAUGGAGCAUUCCCCUGGAGCCAGUGAGUCACAAGGUAUCCAGAGAUGGGUAAGAUCCCCUUGUGGGGGACAACCUAAGACAGGAACCAUGUAAUCUGCUCAUUACAAAAACAAAAAGGGGAGAUAUUGGGCCUUAUUGGGCCCUAGUUGGGCCUUGAGGACAAAUCUGAGCCUGGCUCGAGUUUUAUAAACUGUCUCAGUCACUUCCGUACUGGAGUGACCCAGCACUUCCUUCUUAAGCUUGCCUUUGCCUAGCGACUGGUGACAUAGAGUAACUUUGUUGGCUCUGUCAGUCACCCCAUACACUUCCUCAACUUUCCACUCCCUUUCCCCUCCCCCUACGUCAUCUCACCUCAGCAAAAAAACUCCACCUCCACUCUCAGACCUUUAUAAAGAAAAGAUCGAUACAA